GGACCAGCUGUGGUUCAGUGGUAUCAGCAUCUGCCUUGCAUGGACAAGGUUCCAGGUUCAAUCCCUGGAGUCUCCA